AUACGUAGGUGACAAGCGUUAUCCGGAUUUACUGGGCGUAAAGGGCGUGUAGGCGGUCUUGCAAGUCAGAAGUGAAAUUCCUGAGCUCAACUCGGGCGCUGCUUCUGAAACUGCAGGACUUGAGUGCUGGAGGGGAUAGCGGAAUUCCUAGUGGAGCGGUAAAAUGCGCAGAUAUUAGGAAGAACACCGGUGGCGAAGGCGGCUAUCUGGACAGUAACGGACGCUGAGGCGCGAAAGCGUGGGGAGCAAACGGGAUUAAAUACCCUGGUAGUCCACGCUGUAAACGAUGAAUACUAGGUGUAGGGGGUAUCGACUCCCUCUGUGCCGCAGUUAACACAAUAAGUAUUCCGCCUGGGGAGUACGGCCGCAAGGUUGAAACUCAAAUGAAUUGACGGGG
rnacentral:rRNA from 1 species